UAUCUCCCAUAUUCCCCUUGUUUUAUUUUUUAUGUUGUCAGUGUUUUACAAACUCGCAACUGCAAAACAACAACAAAUUAACCAAAAGAAACCCUAAUUACAACAUUACAAAGAAGUUAGCUUGAAUUUUUAUUACAAGACAAUACGAGGUAGACAAUAUGGCUAAACUGCUUACAUAAAAAAACACAUUUUCCAUCUAUACCUACUAAGUGCUAAGAGUAAAUUCGUUGUGCGUUUUGGAGAAUUGCAAAUAACAGAAAAUUGCAAAAAUCACUCAGUUUCCAGUGCGAGCUAGUGAAUGUAAAAAUUAAACAAAGUAAAAUUUAACUACUACGCAAUACCUAAAUAUUUUGAAAAUUGACAUUUCAGACAAGAUACAAAUGGUUUUUUUAUUGAACACAUUUAGAAGAAACUUUGUAUUGGUAUUAAAAUUUCUGAGAAAAUAACAUUGGAUUCUUGAAUAAAUUACAUCCAUUUAAAGGCUACCAAGUUUUCACAUCAAGGCCCAAAUUAUCUCAACUAUUUUAUUCCACUUUAUUCGAAAUUAAUUUUUUGAAUAUACAAAACAACGCCACAACCCUC